rnacentral:rRNA from 1 species
UACGUAGGUGGCGAGCGUUGUCCGGAAUCACUGGGCGUAAAGCGCGCGCAGGCGGCGAUCUACGUCUGGGGUGAAAGCCCGGAGCUCAACUCCGGGACUGCCUUGGAUACGGGAUCGCUUGAGGAUCGGAGAGGCAAGGGGAAUUCCACGUGUAGCGGUGAAAUGCGUAGAGAUGUGGAGGAACACCUGUGGCGAAGGCGCCUUGCUGGCCGAUUUCUGACGCUGAGGCGCGAAAGCGUGGGGAG